rnacentral:rRNA from 1 species
CCUACGGGAGGCAGCAGUGGGGAAUAUUGCACAAUGGGGGAAACCCUGAUGCAGCGACGCCGCGUGAGUGAGGAAGUAUCUCGGUAUGGUAAGCUCCAUUAGUAGGGAAGAAAAUGACGGUACCUGACUAAGAAGCCCCGGCUAAUUAGGUGCCAGCAGCCGCGGUAAUAUGUAGGGGGCAAGCGUUAUCCGGAUUUACCGGGUGUAAAGGGAGCGUAGAGGGGAUAGCAAGUGUGUUGUGAAAACCCGGGGCUCAACUCCGGGUGUGCAUUUGAAACUGUUGAUCUAGAGUGUCGGAGAGGCAAGCGGAAUUCCUAGUGUAGCGGUGAAAUGCGUAGAUAUUAGGAGGAACACCAGUGGCGAAGGCGGCUUGCUGGACGAUGACUGACGUUGAGGCUCGAAAGCGUGGGGAGCAAACAGGAUUAGAUACCCGGGUAGUC